rnacentral:misc_RNA from 1 species
AUAUCAGCAGCCGCCGUCGCAUUUGAACCGGCAAUUGUUUUUUUUUCCUCGUUUGUUGUCAUUUUCGUUUUUAAUGGCGGCCUGCUGUCAUUUAAAAUGAAUAAAUAUAUUACUUUUAGAAAAGGGCCGACCUCUCGUGAAGAGAACGAUGGAAUUUAUAGAUUUGGGCUGGGAAACUUGUCGAUAAAGCUUUUUCGCUUUUUUAGAUAAACUGACACGAGAGUUUGGUACCUUCUCAAACAGGCAUAAUUUUAAUCUAAUUAAUUGUAUCUGAGAUUUUUUUACCAGUUUUGUUUACUAACAGGGAGCCCUCACUUUUUGCCGUAGCAAAACUGUUGGCAACUCGUCUUGUAAAUCUGAACAGGGUAGAAGUUCUUUGGCGUCCUGUAACAAAUCACCUGCUGGAAGUCAUCAUCCACCCACUUAACCGCUUGAGAGGAUGGGGAAUAGAUGUCAUUACUACGUUAGUUAGAUCAGUAAUUCAAUGUGAUUAUUCUACCCCUUUAAAAGAAAACCAGAGAUUGCAGACGUUGUCAAUAUCACCAUUAAAUGAGCUGUCUAGUACCAGUUUUGCAGACGUGCAGCAAAAGCAAGUUGAUUGUGUGCUCCAUUUGCUGCACAGCUCUGGUGACAUAAUCUCUUUUGGAUGGCCCUUGUUUCUUAAUAUCGUAGGAGCUAUCAACAAUUCUCAAGGGUAACAAUCAAAGUAUUUAUCAUGUUAUACCAAUUACUUUAUUACAUUAUUUUAUUUUUAUUUAGUAAAUUGUCUUUAAAGUAACUGAAUCAAUUUAUGUAGUUUAAUGUGUGUUGUGGACAAUAAAUGAUGCACUUUCAUUUCCAUAAA